rnacentral:lncRNA from 1 species
UAAAGAAAUCUGGAUCCAAAGUUGAAAGUUGCUGGCAAUAUCAUUCAAGUAGGACUCUAAAUAGUGGAUUAAGAUGAGGGUGGAUUCUUUCCAGCUUUAAAAGAAAGUGACUUCAAAAAUUGACUGCAAAUAUUGACGAUGGUUUCUGCUGGAGGAAAAGAAACAGCUUGAAUACAGACAGGCUUUUUUAUUACGGUACUGAUAUAUUGACCUUAAACUUGCUGAGGAACUGAACUAAUGUCUUCCAGUGACCGUGGAAUUCCAUCUCAGCUCCAGGAACAUGCAGAUACCUGCAAAGAGACACGCAUAUAUGCUGGCAUACAUGUGCAUUUGGUGUUGGGAAGUUGACCAUCUGGUCUACCUUAAUAAAAUGGUAAAAAGCACACAAAGACAAUGAUGGGGGCAGGAGGAUGUUUUUGAGAACAGCGCUUCUCAACCAGGGCUCGAUUUUGCCCCCCAGGAGACAUUUGGCAAUGCAAUGGCAACUUUUGGUUGUCGCCGCCGGGGAAGGGAAGCUACCAGCAUCUAGUGCGUAGAGGUCAUGGACGCCAUUAAACAUCCUACAGUGCAAGUGCAGCCUCCAACCACAAAGAGUUGUCUUGCUCAAAUAUCAACAGUGCUGCAGUGUAGAAACUUGAUAGGUGGUUUUCUGUUAAUGCAAAACUCUCAUAAAAACCUUUCACUUUUCCUGUUAUUGACUAUAUGCUUGAUACACCCAAAAAGAAAAGGGGAGGGGUGCCAAUUCACCUACACUGCAGUGGCUUCUUCACCUUUAAAAAUAUUUAUAAAAUAGUUACAAAAAUCUGAUAUCUGAAAAGCAAUCCAAGCCUGUGUAAAUGGGAAUCACUGAUAAGUAUCAUCAUCUGUAUGAGCUUGGCUUAGACAUGAAAAGUUGAUUCUCUUUAUAUCACUCCUUGCACCUGGACAAAUUCAAUCCCUGGUACUUAAGUCACACUGCCAAGCCCUCGGCCCUGACUAUUGUCUUGAUUGCUGUUGCUUUCUGGUUCAAAAUAAAAUCAUUUUUGUGGCACCAAGA